AACGCACAUUGCGCCUUUUGGUAUUCCGAAAGGCAUGCCUGUUUGAGUGUCAUAUCACCUCUCAUGUGUAGUUUUCUAUACAUGGGCUUUGGGCGCUGCCAUCCGUGGCUCGCCUUAAAUGACUAAGUGGAAUGCGUAAUAAGUUUUCGCUCCCUCCACUCUAAUAACUUUCAAGUUAGACCUCAAAUCAGGUAGGACUACCCGCUGAACUUAA
rnacentral:misc_RNA from 1 species